GCGCCCGUAGUUCAGCCCGGAAAGAACGGUCGCUUCCUAAGCGACGUGUCGCAGGUUCAAAUCCUGCCGGGCGCA
rnacentral:tRNA from 1 species